UUGUUUUCCCUUUAGUUCGUAGUUGAAAUUCAACGAUAAGAAAGAAUAUCUAGCAGCCAUAUUCUGCUCAGCGAUUUUGAAUCCAUCCGUAAUUACCAUCGGGAAUUUAUUUUAAACUGUGGCAAUUUGAAUGGACGGAGCAAUUUGAGAGACCGUCUUUGAUGGAUGCCAUUGGCAUGUCUUUAAUUAUUGCAAACAACACAUGGGAAACUCCGGGGAGCUGAUGCUGCAAGUUACAAAGGUUAUUUCAACCAUUAGAGAAUUAAGAUUAACCCAAGAGCGCUCAAUAAAAAGUAUAUCCAAUAAAUACACAGCCCUUUCAUGGAAGACAUCUUGCAACCGAAGAUCUUUCUAAAAUAUUUAUUGAUAUCACAUCAAUUCUGGAAUCUUUCCAUACUGUAUGGUUGGAAGAACCUUUUUUCAGCUGCAAAUGGAAUGAAAAUAGU